ensembl:misc_RNA Y_RNA Y RNA
GAGUGGUUUGAGUUCAGUGGUAUGUACAACUAAUUGAUCAUAAUCAGCAACAGAUUUCUUUGUUCUUUCUCCACUUGCACUGCUUCAUUUGGCUAGCCAUGA